rnacentral:rRNA from 1 species
UACGUAGGUGGCAAGCGUUGUCCGGAUUUAUUGGGUUUAAAGGGUGCGUAGGCGGCUUAUUAAGUCAGUGGUGAAAUACUCCAGCUUAACUGGAGGGGUGCCAUUGAUACUGAUGAGCUUGAGUACAGACGAGGUAGGCGGAAUUGACGGUGUAGCGGUGAAAUGCUUAGAUAUCGUCAAGAACACCUAUAGCGAAGGCAGCUUACUAGGCUGUAACUGACGCUGAGGCACGAAAGUGUGGGGAUCAAACAGG